CCUACGGGAGGCAGCAGUGGGGAAUAUUGGACAAUGGGGGGAACCCUGAUCCAGCGACGCCGCGUGAGUGAAGAAGGCUUUCGGUAUGUAAAGCUCUAUCAGCGGGGAAGAAAAUUACGGUACCUGACUAAGAAGCCCCGGCUAACUACGUGACAGCAGCCGCGGUAAUACGUAGGGGGCAAGCGUUAGCCGGAUUGACUGGGUGUAAGGGGAGUGCAGACGGUGGAGCAAGACGGAUGUGAAGGCUCCGGGCCUAACCGGGGGAAGGCAUACGUGACUGUAGAACUGGAGUACAGCAGAGGGAGGCGGAAUUCCGAGUGUAGCGGUGAAAUGCGUAGAUAUUUGGAGGAACACCGGUGGCGAAGGCGGCCCACUGGAACGCAACUGACGCUCAUACACGAAAGCGUGGGGAGCAAACAGGAUUAGAUACCCGAGUAGUC
rnacentral:rRNA from 1 species